rnacentral:rRNA from 1 species
ACACACGGAUAACAUACCGAAAGGUAUGCUAAUACGGGAUAAUAUAUUUGAGAGGCAUCUCUUAAAUAUCAAAGGUGAGCCAGUACAGGAUGGACCCGCGUCUGAUUAGCUAGUUGGUAAGGUAACGGCUUACCAAGGCGACGAUCAGUAGCCGACCUGAGAGGGUGAUCGGCCACAUUGGAGCUGAGACACGGUCCAAACUCCUACGGGAGGCAGCAGUGGGGAAUAUUGCACAAUGGGCGAAAGCCUGAUGCAGCAACGCCGCGUGAGUGAUGAAGGCCUUCGGGUCGUAAAACUCUGUCCUCAAGGAAGAUAAUGACGGUACUUGAGGAGGAAGCCCCGGCUAACUACGUGCCAGCAGCCGCGGUAAUACGUAGGGGGCUAGCGUUACCCGGAUUUACUGGGCGUAAAGGGUGCGUAGGCGGUCUUUCAAGUCAGGAGUGAAAGGCUACGGCUCAACCGUAGUAAGCUCUUGAAACUGGGAGACUUGAGUGCAGGAGAGGAGAGUGGAAUUCCUAGUGUAGCGGUGAAAUGCGUAGAUAUUAGGAGGAACACCAGUUGCGAAGGCGGCUCUCUGGACUGUAACUGACGCUGAGGCACGAAAGCGUGGGGAGCAAACAGGAUUAGAUACCCUGGUAGUCCACGCUGUAAACGAUGAGUACUAGGUGUCGGGGGUUACCCCCUUCGGUGCCGCAGCUA